rnacentral:tRNA from 2 species
UCCUCGAUGGUCUAGUGGUCAUGAUUUCCGCUUGUCACGCGGGAGACCUGGGUUCGAUUCCCAGUCGGGGAG